GAAUCUGCUCAUUAAGUGUUUAAUGACCUUUGCUCCAACUUUCAUUAAUUCAAGGAAUUCAUCAUUAAAAAUCUUUUCAUUGUUAGCAAUGCUCGAUGCUUUUUACAAUUAGCAUCCAUUUCGGAAAUUUCAAGGUUCCUGCUUUCUGCAAAACUCUUUGGCUCCUCUGAACACCACAUUAUUCAUCAUUUCCGUGACGCCUAGAUGGAGUAUAAAGAAUGGGGAAUUCUACUUUCAACAAAAUCGUCCCAAUGGAGCUUCAGGUUUUGGAUAGAUUCAAUAUCUGCAACUCCACUAAGAGCUACAGUGUGAAGAAAAUCCGGUGGGCGUAUCUGGAUGCAGAAUCCGUUCAGUGGCGGAGUACAAGGCAAGUUCUCCGGAAAGUGGGUAUUCGAUAACCAACUUGCCAUAAGCAUGGACAGUCUGAUCUGCAAUAUCAGUAUUGGAGAUGGCAGCCUCCAAACUGCAAUUUGAAGAGGUGGAAUGUGUAUGAAAUGUGGGAGAAGUUUAGAUAAGAACUAAUAUUUGCUAACAUUUUGCCAUUAACCAAGAGUCAAGAUUUAGAAUCCGGAAGUGAAGGAAAUUGCUAUAACCAAAUCUGGCCUAUCACUACAGAGGGCUACUAGGGAAGUGAUUCCGACUUGUUGACCAUGGCAUGGUGGAUAAAGUGCUUUCCGGUUCGGGUUCAAAGGUAUCUGUUACCAAUAUUACUCAGCUCUCGGAAUAUCGAAAAGAUGGUCACCUUUCUAUUUAUAGAAAAUUUUGGGAGACUUUGAGCCUCCAGCAAUUGGCUAACCCUGCAAGCUACUCGGAUUGCAUACAUUGGUGCUUACCUGGUGUGCCUGAUGUGCGGAAAUUAUUUUAGUGUCUUUGCAUAUAGCAACCGGGGGGGAGGGUGUUUAAUUGUGAAUUCUUUGCCUUGGGAUAGUUGAGAAAAAUGAUUGCUUAUAAGAAUUGACUUCUUCCUUGUGCGUGUGUAUAAUUUGAGGACCAUAGACUAUAGAGGAGACUAGUAAUAAUGAUCAGCCCUAAAAGAAAAACAAACCCUGGUGCACCCCUUCUAACCAUCUUCUUCAGGAAGACCUCAAGAGCUGACACUCCUCAAAAGUCGUGAUCUCUUGAUAUGAUA